ACCUGGUUAGCUCAGCUGGUAGAGCGCUAGACUUUUAAUCUAGUGGUCGUGGGUUCGACCCCCACACUAGGUG
rnacentral:tRNA from 1 species